rnacentral:rRNA from 1 species
GACGAACGCUGGCGGCGUGCCUAAUACAUGCAAGUAGAACGCUGAAGGAGGAGCUUGCUUCUCUGGAUGAGUUGCGAACGGGUGAGUAACGCGUAGGUAACCUGCCUGGUAGCGGGGGAUAACUAUUGGAAACGAUAGCUAAUACCGCAUAAUAGUAGAUGUUGCAUGACAUUUGCUUAAAAGGUGCAAUUGCAUCACUACCAGACGGACCUGCGUUGUAUUAGCUAGUUGGUGAGGUAACGGCUCACCAAGGCAACGAUACAUAGCCGACCUGAGAGGGUGAUCGGCCACACUGGGACUGAGACACGGCCCAGACUCCUACGGGAGGCAGCAGUAGGGAAUCUUCGGCAAUGGACGGAAGUCUGACCGAGCAACGCCGCGUGAGUGAAGAAGGUUUUCGGAUCGUAAAGCUCUGUUGUAAGAGAAGAACGAGUGUGAGAGUGGAAAGUUCACACUGUGACGGUAUCUUACCAGAAAGGGACGGCUAACUACGU